AAACGUAGGGGGCGAGCGUUAUCCGGAAUUACUGGGCGUAAAGGGCGUCUAGGCGGCCACCCAAGUCUCGCGUGAAAGCUCCCGGCUCAACUGGGAGAGGGCGCGGGAAACUGUGUGGCUCGAGACUCGGAGAGGUGAGCGGAAUUCCAGGUGUAGCGGUGAAAUGUGUAGAUAUCUGGAAGAACACCGGUGGCGAAGGCUGCUCUCUGGCCAGUUACUGACGCUGAGGUGCGAAAGCGUGGGGAGCGAACAGGAUUAGAAACCCCAGUAGUCC
rnacentral:rRNA from 1 species